GCUAGGAACCUGCGCCCGGCUGAGCUGAGCGAGGCGAGAGGAGAAAGCGAGGCCCGGGGACGGGACUGAGAGCUCUGAAAGGAGGGAGGCGGCUCCCGAGUACUCCGCGCGGGGCAGGCCCCGGCCUCGCCUCUUCGCCCAUUUUUAAGGCUCGAGUUAGAGGCCACCUCCUCCGAGAAGCCUUCGGUGACACCACCUCUCCCAGACGGUUCCCCUUUCUGAUUCCCACAGCAUUUUCCAACCAUUCACGGGACCGCCACCAUCACAGGCACUCGGUAGAUGUCUGCUGAAUGAGGAUAACUUCUACCCAACACCGUGAAGCCUGGCCCAGGGUCUGGCAUACAGAUGCCGUGUUUGUAAGACCUAUUGGUUCCUCUAGUCCUGGUUGCUCAUCUCGCCCACUUGCACAGCCCACCUGUGUGGCCGACUCAGGAUUGACCCACCUGCUCUCUUCAGGCCAUAUUCCCACGCAGAAGUGGGUCCCACUCCUCAGGCCUCUGUGCUGGCCCCGUCUGUGGGGUUAGCAAGCAGCCCUGCUCUCCAUUUCCAGCUCAGAAGCAACUGGAUCGUUACCUCAUUGGUGACAACUUGACUGUGCUGCCCAGAGCUGAUAAGAAACAUCACCCGGGGAAGACCAGCUGCCUCUUCCUUGCUUCCUAAUCAGGGUGGAAAUACUGCUAAAUAUAUCACAACUCUUUGCAAGCA
rnacentral:lncRNA from 1 species